UACGGAGGGUGCAAGCGUUAAUCGGAAUUACUGGGCGUAAAGCGCACGCAGGCGGUUUGUUAAGUCAGAUGUGAAAUCCCCGGGCUCAACCUGGGAACUGCAUUUGAUACUGGCAAGCUUGAGUCUAGUAGAGGGGGGUAGAAUUCCAGGUGUAGCGGUGAAAUGCGUAGAGAUCUGGAGGAAUACCGGUGGCGAAGGCGGCCCCCUGGAUGAAGACUGACGCUCAGGUGCGAAAGCGUGGGGAGCAAACAGG
rnacentral:rRNA from 1 species